UACGAAGGGGGGCUAGCGUUACUCGGAUUGACUGGGCGUAAAGGGCGCGUAGGCGGUUUGUACAGUCAGACGUGAAAUUCCUGGGCUCAACCUGGGGGCUGCGUUUGAUACGUGCGGACUUGAGUUCGGAAGAGGGUCGUGGAAUUCCCAGUGUAGAGGUGAAAAUUCGUAGAUAUUGGGAAGAACACCGGUGGCGAAGGCGGCGACCUGGUCCGAUACUGACGCUGAGGCGCGAAAGCGUGGGGAGCAAACAGG
rnacentral:rRNA from 1 species